rnacentral:tRNA from 1 species
GAAAUACAUUGACAGUACUAAAGCCGCUAACUUUAAGUAAUAGCGGUUAAAUUCCGUUAGUAUUUCU